GUACACGCUGUGACUAGCAUAUCAAUAAGCGGAGGAAAAGAAACUAACAAGGAUUCCCUCAGUAACGGCGAGUGAAGCGGGAAGAGCUCAAAUUUGAAAUCUUGAAAGGUCACCUUUCACGAAUUGUAGUUUAAAGAAGUGUUUUCUGUUACGAUCGUAAUAUAAGUUCUUUGGAAUAGGACAUCAUAGAGGGUGAGAAUCCCGUAUGAUUGACGAUUUGUCAGCUUUGUGAUACACUUUCAAAGAGUCGGAUUGUUUGGGAAUGCAGUCCAAAAUGGGAUGGUAAAUUUCAUCUAAGGCUAAAUAUUGGCGAGAGACCGAUAGCGAACAAGUACCGUGAGGGAAAGAUGAAAAGAACUUUGAAAAGAGAGUUAAAUAGUACGUGAAAUUGUCAAAAGGGAAGCGUUUAACACCAGUGUUGUUUUCUGAAAAUCAACCUCUGUUAGCUUUAUGCAUGUUUGUUUAGACCUAAUCAGCUAUCUUGCAUGUUCUAUUGUUUGCAGUGGUGCACUUUUCAGUUUACAGGUCAACAUCAGUUUUUUUUACCGUAAAAAAGUUAAAGAAAGGUAGCUCAUGGCUCCGGUCGUGAGUGUUAUAGUCUUUUUCCUAUGCGGUAGGAGAGACUGAGGUCUGCAGUGUAGGCUAUUUGGCUAGAUACUCAGGUGCUAUGUGAUACCAUUUCAUAAACAACUUGUUGAUUAUGUUUUGUCUAUUGCAUACUCGCUUGUACUAUCAUACCUACGCUUAGGAUGUUGAGUAGCGACAUACGCAC
rnacentral:rRNA from 1 species